rnacentral:sRNA from 1 species
AGGAAGGGGAGGAGGCGAGGGGAGCCCGCCGCGGAGGCCGAGCGAGCCCCCAGCCCAGCCUGGCGACUGGGGACCCCGGCACAUGAGGUGGACGCCCCCGGGGAAGACUUGGGUGCACAGCCAGGCGAGAAGGUCUUGAGUCAGAGCACCAGCCUUGGGGACCCUGGACCACUAUCAUGGAGACUGAGAGCGAGCAGAACUCCAAUUCCACCAAUGGGAGUUCCAGCUCAGGGGGCAGCUCUCGGCCCCAGAUAGCUCAAAUGUCACUAUAUGAACGACAAGCAGUGCAGGCUCUGCAAGCACUGCAGCGGCAGCCCAAUGCAGCUCAGUAUUUCCACCAGUUCAUGCUCCAGCAGCAGCUCAGUAAUGCCCAGCUGCAUAGCCUGGCUGCCGUCCAGCAGGCCACAAUUGCUGCCAGUCGGCAGGCCAGCUCCCCAAACACCAGCACUACACAGCAGCAGACUACCACCACCCAGGCCUCGAUGAAUCUGGCCACCACAUCGGCCGCCCAGCUCAUCAGCCGAUCCCAGAGUGUGAGCUCUCCCAGUGCUACCACCUUGACCCAAUCUGUGCUACUGGGGAACACCACCUCCCCACCCCUCAACCAGUCUCAGGCCCAGAUGUAUCUACGGCCACAGCUGGGAAACCUAUUGCAGGUAAACCGAACCCUGGGUCGGAAUGUGCCUCUAGCCUCCCAACUCAUCCUGAUGCCUAAUGGGGCAGUGGCUGCAGUCCAGCAGGAGGUGCCAUCUGCUCAGUCUCCUGGAGUUCAUGCAGAUGCAGAUCAGGUUCAGAACUUGGCAGUAAGGAAUCAACAGGCCUCAGCUCAAGGACCUCAGAUGCAAGGCUCCACUCAGAAGGCCAUUCCUCCAGGAGCCUCCCCUGUCUCUAGCCUCUCCCAGGCCUCUAGCCAGGCCCUAGCGGUGGCACAGGCUUCCUCUGGGGCCACAAACCAGUCCCUCAACCUUAGUCAAGCAGGUGGAGGCAGUGGGAAUAGCAUCCCGGGGUCCAUGGGUCCAGGUGGAGGUGGCCAGGCACAUGGUGGUUUGGGUCAGUUGCCUUCCUCAGGAAUGGGUGGUGGGAGCUGUCCCAGGAAGGGUACAGGAGUGGUGCAGCCCUUGCCUGCAGCCCAAACAGUGACUGUGAGCCAGGGCAGCCAGACAGAGGCAGAAAGUGCAGCAGCCAAGAAGGCAGAAGCAGAUGGGAGUGGCCAGCAGAAUGUGGGCAUGAACCUGACACGGACAGCCACACCUGCGCCCAGCCAGACACUUAUUAGCUCAGCCACCUACACACAGAUCCAGCCCCAUUCACUGAUUCAGCAACAGCAACAGAUCCACCUCCAGCAGAAACAGGUGGUGAUCCAGCAGCAGAUUGCCAUCCACCACCAGCAGCAGUUCCAGCACCGGCAGUCCCAGCUCCUUCAUACAGCUACACACCUCCAGUUGGCGCAGCAGCAGCAGCAGCAGCAACAACAGCAACAGCAGCAACAGCAGCAGCCGCAAGCCACCACCCUCACUGCCCCUCAGCCACCACAGGUCCCACCUACUCAGCAGGUCCCACCUUCCCAGUCCCAGCAGCAAGCCCAAACCCUGGUCGUUCAGCCCAUGCUUCAGUCUUCACCCUUGUCUCUUCCACCUGAUGCAGCCCCUAAGCCACCAAUUCCCAUCCAAUCCAAACCACCUGUAGCACCUAUCAAGCCACCUCAGUUAGGGGCUGCUAAGAUGUCAGCUACCCAGCAACCACCACCCCAUAUCCCUGUGCAAGUUGUAGGCACUCGACAGCCAGGGGACAGCACAUGUGGUAAAGGGUGGGGCUACCACCUCCUCACCUGUUGUAGCCCAGGUCCCUGCUGCCUUCUAUAUGCAGUCUGUGCACUUGCCGGGUAAACCCCAGACAUUGGCUGUCAAACGCAAGGCUGACUCUGAGGAUGAGAGAGAUGAUGUCUCCACAUUGGGUUCAAUGCUUCCUGCCAAGGCAUCUCCAGUAGCAG